rnacentral:rRNA from 1 species
UACAGAGGGUGCAAGCGUUGUUCGGAAUUACUGGGCGUAAAGGGCGCGUAGGCGGCUUGGUAAGUCAGGCGUGAAAUCCCAGGGCUUAACUCUGGAAGUGCGCUUGAAACUACCUCGCUAGAGUGCAGUAGAGGAUGGCGGAAUACCCAGUGUAGAGGUGAAAUUCGUAGAUAUUGGGUGGAACACCGGUGGCGAAGGCGGCCAUCUGGGCUGCAACUGACGCUGAGGCGCGAAAGCGUGGGGAUCAAACAGG